UACGUAGGGGGCAAGCGUUAUCCGGAAUUACUGGGUGUAAAGGGAGCGUAGACGGUAAUGUAAGUCUGGAGUGAAAGGCGGGGGCCCAACCCCCGGACUGCUCUGGAAACUAUGUUACUAGAGUGCAGGAGAGGUAAGGGGAAUUCCUAGUGUAGCGGUGGAAUGCGUAGAUAUUAGGAGGAACACCAGUGGCGAAGGCGGCUUACUGGACUGUAACUGACGUUGAGGCUCGAAAGCGUGGGGAGCAAACAGG
rnacentral:rRNA from 1 species